rnacentral:rRNA from 1 species
UGGAUCCAGACUUUGAUUCUGGCUCAGGACGAACGCUGGCGGCGUGCCUAAUACAUGCAAGUCGAGCGAGCUUGCCUAGAUGAUUUUAGUGCUUGCACUAAAUGAAACUAGAUACAAGCGAGCGGCGGACGGGUGAGUAACACGUGGGUAACCUGCCCAAGAGACUGGGAUAACACCUGGAAACAGAUGCUAAUACCGGAUAACAACACUAGACGCAUGUCUAGAGUUUGAAAGAUGGUUCUGCUAUCACUCUUGGAAGGACCUGCGGUGCAUUAGCUAGUUGGUAAGGUAACGGCUUACCAAGGCAAUGAUGCAUAGCCGAGCUGAGAGACUGAUCGGCCACAUUGGGACUGAGACACGGCCCAAACUCCUACGGGAGGCAGCAGUAGGGAAUCUUCCACAAUGGACGAAAGUCUGAUGGAGCAACGCCGCGUGAGUGAAGAAGGGUUUCGGCUCGUAAAGCUCUGUUGGUAGUGAAGAAAGAUAGAGGUAGUAACUGGCCUUUAUUUGACGGUAAUUACUUAGAAAGUCACGGCUAACUACGUGCCAGCAGCCGCGGUAAUACGUAGGUGGCAAGCGUUGUCCGGAUUUAUUGGGCGUAAAGCGAGUGCAGGCGGUUCAAUAAGUCUGAUGUGAAAGCCUUCGGCUCAACCGGAGAAUUGCAUCAGAAACUGUUGAACUUGAGUGCAGAAGAGGAGAGUGGAACUCCAUGUGUAGCGGUGGAAUGCGUAGAUAUAUGGAAGAACACCAGUGGCGAAGGCGGCUCUCUGGUCUGCAACUGACGCUGAGGCUCGAAAGCAUGGGUAGCGAACAGGAUUAGAUACCCUGGUAGUCCAUGCCGUAAACGAUGAGUGCUAAGUGUUGGGAGGUUUCCGCCUCUCAGUGCUGCAGCUAACGCAUUAAGCACUCCGCCUGGGGAGUACGACCGCAAGGUUGCAACUCAAAUGAAUUGACGGA